rfam:Synergistales bacterium 58_81 MPJ_scaffold_52, whole genome shotgun sequence.
GCGCUUGUAGCUCAGUUGGAUAGAGCAACGGACUUCUAAUCCGUAGGUCGCGGGUUCGAAUCCUGCCAAGCGCG